GUUUGCACCCUGUUGAAGCCUGUUUGUCUUGAGGUGGCAAAUCCAGUAUUUUGCACCCUGGUAAAUUGCUGCUUUUCUUCUUUUCCUACAUGGGUUGUACAAAUUGAAAAGGUUUUUUCUAAGGAAGACAUUUUAAACUUUAUUAUCACUUGUUCCUGCUAUUCAAACCUGAUAGAGCGCCUAUGAAAACCAGGAUGAUCAGAAGGACAAAAUUCCUCAACCUGCUGGAAAAGUCUGGGGCUGAGAUUGGAUCCAGCCACCCCCAGGCUCCUCUCUGGGAAGGAUUACAAGCGGAUCCCUGUGGCAGGCUUCUCUAAUAUCCCUCUUGGAUAUCUGGAUAUAUUUUCUCCUUGAUGUUUCCAGCAGAAUUAUAUUUUGUUUUCCUCUCUGGAACUGGAAUGCCACACACACAGGCAGAGGGGAAGUAACAACAUCCUUGCAGAAACAUUAUUUGCACCAAAAUAUGAAUUCAAAUAGCAGGACGUGACACAGCAAUAAUUUUCACAUCACUUUUGCAAGAUGUGUUUUCUCUAGUUAAAAAAAAACCAAAACUAUGCCUUUCUUAACUACUGCAUAAAUGAUUCCAGAUAUGUGCAUUUUGGAGUCAAUUAAGGUUUUAAAUUCUAUUUUUUUAAAUGUUGCAACAGAUGUUCCAGAUUAACUCAAGCUCCUGGAAUUUAGAUGCACUUGACAGGAAUUGGACUCCUCACCAAGUGAGCAACCACAGUUCCUUGUCUGGAAAUCAUUUCACAUCUGCUAAUUAUAGGUGCAACACCAUGACUCAAACAGAGAUGCUGAAAUUGGUCUUGCAGACUAAAUUACUUCAGAUCUCUUUUUCCCCCACUAUUUGCAAGUCGGCCUCAUUCCAUUUAAUAAGAAAUGGCCACACUCACAUUCAGUCAUGCAGCAAAAGCAGUGACAAGACCCAACACAAGACCUUUUUUUCUCCAAUUUAUCUAAGGAAGUGCAGCUAUACAGCUAGACUGAAAAAAAAAAUUGCAUUUCUGCUUGUGGAUUACGACAUGUCUGUUUUCUGAUGGGAUCUUCAGGAGCAUGGGCAAGCAGAAUUGCUUUUUUCUUUCUCCCAGAAUGAAAGCAGUGACAUUUUUCUCUUUGGAAGUUUCUAUGCAGCCCUUCAAAACCAGCUGCAAAACCCAGACCUUUAUAAAUAAAUGAUUUGCCAUUUGAAGAAACA
rnacentral:lncRNA from 1 species